rnacentral:lncRNA from 1 species
CUUGCUUACACCCUCGGAGGCGCUGGAACGGUAGGAGAGAACAUCGCUCCCUCCCCUAGAGUCUGCGAUCGCUGCGGCGCGGGUCGGGAAGGAGCGGGGGAGGGGCCGCACGACCGGGGGAUCAUCCAGGACUCCUGCCGCUGAUUCAGUGGAGACCCGACGGGGGGAAAGCUUCCGUCCACGGGGACCCCAUAAAUCAAGGGCCUUGGAAGACCAGAGAACAGAACUGAUCUGAACCCAGACCAGCACGUCAUGGUUUGACAAGCGGUACUAGAUCCACACCAGGGAUCCGAACCUGCAAACCCUGGGCUACCAAAGCAGAGUGCACAAACCUAACCACUACACCACCAGGCCAGCCGGCUUCAUUACAUCUUGAAUGAAGGAACCGAAGAAGCACAAGAUGGUGUAGUAACGCGAUAAGCUCCCCCAACAGGUUUGCGGUUUUGGAUCCCAGGCGCAGACGUCCUCCAUUCAUCAGCUGUGCUGUGGAGGCAUCCCACAUACAAAAUAGAGGAAGACUGGUAUGGAUGUUAGCUCAGGGAAAAUCUUCUUCAACAACAACAAAAAAUUGAUGAUGAGAACGUCCUGUGACCAGCACUCUUCUUCUGAGUAUUAUUCCAAGAGAAUCCUUCGCACUUGUGCUCAAAAGUAGAAGAUG